AUCAUGCUUCAGUUCCCUAAAAAAGAAAACACUUCUCCUGUGCAGGGGAAAUUGCUUCAAUGGAUAGAUUGCAUUUAAAUAAUUUAAGUAUAAAAUUACUCGAACAGGCCGACUGAUAUUUCGAAAACGAAACAGUCACAAUCACUUAAGAAUGCUGGCAAAGUUCGUGAUUUGGUGUGUAGAUGAGAGAAGGAUGGAUAGAGAAAAGCAUCAUUACAAAAGUGAAAUGUGUGAAUUUUAUUCUGGCUUUGAACAUUGAGUAGACGAAGAAGACAAUUCCAGACGGAGGAAACUCCACAAGAAAUAUCAUGGAAAUUUGAAAGAACACAGUGGGCUUGGGAAGAGAGAUCUCAGUGGUGGAAGCACCAUCAUCCCAAGGAGACUUAGGACAUUAUUUGAAGAGAGUUUUCCCCUGAGGAAAGUGCUUCAGAGGAGAAAAUACACCAGAAAAAGACAAGGCCCUGCUCUGAGGAGUGAAGACACAAUCCAGCAGGCAGGAGGGAUGGCUAAGUUCAAAGUCUUGAGAAGUGCCCCUCAUGGACACCCCAGGGUGCCCAUCUCCAGGUUACCACCAGGUGCUUCCAAGACCAAGAUAACCAGGCAAUCAUAGUAGAUGCAUCAAUGCACCCUUGCCCAAGGGCCUAGACAAGAGGAGGAAGGAAAGGAGGAGCACGUGCACAAAGCUAAGGAGGUGAUUAACAACAUGAUACAGUAUUGUUUAGCUUCGCAUGAAUUUUAUCACCUUGCCUAGAACCAGCCACCAUCUGCCAGGGCUCCUGACUUUUUCUGAAAUGAAUAGACACUAAAGCCUGCUGGGGAAUUUCAUGGAAAUCAAGAUGACUCAACCCAGAGUCCAUUUCAAGGCUAGGAUGCUAGAGGACGCCAACAAAGGAGUAGGGAAGUGAAACGGAUCAGCUCACAUCCAAGCCCUUGCAUGAUCAAUCCUGCAGUAGGAGUGCUGCUCAGUUGGGACUCAUGAGAGCCCGGAAGAGG
ensembl:lncRNA novel transcript